CCUACAGGGGGCUGCAGUGGGGAAUAUUGGACAAUGGGGGGAACCCUGAUCCAGCCAUGCCGCGUGUGUGAAGAAGGCCCUCGGGUUGUAAAGCACUUUCAGUGAGGAAGAACGCCUGGUGGUUAAUACCCAUCAGGAAAGACAUCACUCACAGAAGAAGCACCGGCUAACUCCGUGCCAGCAGCCGCGGUAAUACGGAGGGUGCGAGCGUUAAUCGGAAUUACUGGGCGUAAAGCGCGCGUAGGUGGCUUGAUAAGCCGGUUGUGAAAGCCCCGGGCUCAACCUGGGAACGGCAUCCGGAACUGUCAAGCUAGAGUGCAGGAGAGGAAGGUAGAAUUCCCGGUGUAGCGGUGAAAUGCGUAGAGAUCGGGAGGAAUACCAGUGGCGAAGGCGGCCUUCUGGACUGACACUGACACUGAGGUGCGAAAGCGUGGGUAGCAAACAGGAUUAGAUACCCCUGUAGUC
rnacentral:rRNA from 1 species